rnacentral:rRNA from 1 species
GACGGAGGGUGCGAGCGUUAAUCGGAAUUACUGGGCGUAAAGCGCAUGUAGGCGGCCGAACAAGUCAGGUGUGAAAGCCUCGGGCUUAACCUGGGAAGUGCUCUUGAUACUGUCCGGCUAGAGUUUGGCAGAGGAAAGUAGAAUUCCCGGUGUAGCGGUGAAAUUCGUAGAUAUCGGGAGGAAUACCAGUGGCGAAGGCGGCUUUCUGGGCCAAUACUGACGCUGAGGUGCGAAAGCGUGGGGAGCAAACAGG